UUACUCAGCUCCUGGUGCGGCGGGGCAGGAGUGAUCAGCACCGUGCCGGCCCCAGAACGGGUCGGCGCCGUGUAGUUCGGCACCGCGCGGUGACUUGAAGGCAGUGCCGGGGCCGGUGCCAUGGUCGGGUCCGGGGCUGCUCGUGGCGCCGGUUCAAUGCUCGGCGCCGGAGGAGGGAGGGGCUGAAGUGAUGCCAGCUGGGGAGCCGGCGUCUUUGCAGGCUCCCGUGGCCGCUUAGACUUUGAAGCCGCUGAGGCAGGGGGACAUAGCUUUGGAAUGCCAGAGGUCCCCGGUGUCUGUGCCUGGCUGUCCCUGCCAUUAAAGGCAGCUGGCGGGAUCUUGCUGGGGACAAUGUCAUUGUUUUCUGACGUCCCGCAGUAGGGGAGGAAGCCUGGCGCUUAAGAGGCUGCUGAUUGAAGUCAGCUUGCUGCGGUUGCAGGGCUGUAUCGAAGAGGAGCAUACGGAGGCGCCUCUCCCUGUCUUUCCCGGCUCUGGAGGUGAAUGGAGCUAUAUACAGAGAAGCUGUCAAGAGAACAGCUGAGAGGCGGGAGGUAAGAGCGGUCUCCGCUUUCACUCCCGAUAGUCUUUGUCCUGCCUCUCUUGAAAGAAUUUGUUUUUAAACUUUAUGGGGAGGAGAGGGGAGAGGGAGGAAAGGGAAAUUUUAUAUAUACAAAGAGAGAACUAGAAGCAGUCUAGUUCUGUGGAGAGAGGAGCGCGGUUACAGGCGUCUGCAGCCUAGGCGGUGAAGAGGAACUGGCGGAGGGGCCGGACCGCGCGACAGAAAGAGCGCGAACGCCGCGAGCCUGCGGCACAUGCAUGGUCCGGCCAGACGCUGCUAAUGACAAGUCUCCGUCUGCGGCGCCGGGGCAAGCCCAGCACCCAUAGUGGAGCACCUGCGGGGACAUCCCCAAAGAAGAACAAUGAAUUAGUUGAGAUUUUACACAACUACUAAAUGCUUGUGUGCUGUUAAACCAAGUUUUCUUUGAACACUUAAGAUCGGUUUCUUAUCUGGUGACAGUGGAUACUUGUGACCCAGAACCCCAAAGAAGCCACAAUGGAGUUACUCAACUAAGGUAAACGUCAAAAAAUGGGGCAAACGAUCCCCAAAGCUGGUGAAUAUUCCAAUAGUUAGAUUUACGAAACCAGCACAAAACAACUUCUAUAACAUUUUACUGGUUACCAAGCAGCCCAAAACAUAUUUCCCUUAAAACAAUUCAGCCUUAGGAUUCCACCCAGACACCCAGGACAAAUAUGAUGGGGAUGACUGAAAAUCUAAUCAUACAAGAAACUUCUACCAAUUCCAAAAGAUUAGGACAUAAUACUUCCCAAAUAAAUGGUUUUUCCAGAUCCUACCCAAAUGCAUGCUUACACCAAUUCUUAUUAACUAGAAUAGGAUUUAUUAAAAAAGGAGAAAUUACUGGUUAAAAGACCAGUAUAUAUACAAACAUGAGUACAGUUUGAGAUCAGAUUCAUGAGAAAGAUGAACUUUGUAGUUGCAAAGUUCUUUCAGAAUUACGUUAUAGUCCAAUGUCCAUAUGCAGGUUGAACUUGAGGCAGACCUGGAGAUCUCAGCCUUGUGGUUUAAGUUUCCCCUGCAUGAAGCAUCAAGCAGAUUCAAGAAACAGAAUCAGAACCCUGAGUCUUUUAUUCAGUUUUCAAGCAGCCUCUUGACCCUGCAAGUCCUGGGUGAUCAAUAGGCUUUGAAGUAACCUUCUAUUCCCAAACAUUCCUCCUCCACCUUCCCCCCACCCUAGUAAUCAGCUAGAUGGAUUAACACAAGACAUUUGCUCAUUUUCCAUCACUCUCCAGUAAUCUGGUAUACAAUUCAAAGAGGUGAAAACAGUGAUGUUACUAUGUUUACUGUUCAUCUAAAUGUGAACAUCUCAUUUUUAUCUCUGAAUCAAUAGCUAUAAUGACAGACAGGAAUUGGCUA